rnacentral:lncRNA from 1 species
AUAUGGGCCGUUGCUGCAAGUUGUCAGUGUUGAACAUGAAGUGGGUGUGACCAACUGCGUAAAGGGAAAGUCGCGGUCCACAGCCCUUCAUGCUAUGAAUGACUCAUGUCCAGGGUAGGUCAAAGAAAAAGAAACAACGAUUUCAAGGGGGAAAAAAGAUAAAGACAAGAGAAAUGAGAAACCCGAAGACCAUAGCACCUGCCAUUGAAAUCUUUUCUAAAUGUUCCAUCACGAACAGAACUUUACAAGACUAACGACUGCUGAAAGUUUGGCCCGCGACUUCUGCAACGCUCUCAGAAUAAACGGUCACGCCAGAGGGAUGUCGCUGCACAGACAACAAGCCUACCCAGACAUGGAUGAGGUCAAACUUCAGCCUCAGCGUGAAGGGCUCAAUAAGCAACAGCCACCAUACCCCCUGACACGCUGGCCACCCCACGAUGAGCGAUGGCUGAGAUAUGGGCAGUAUUUGCUCUGCACGAGCCGAGGGACUGUGACACACAUUUUCCAUGAGCGUGAGGACCAGCUGAUGUGGUUGUCCUCUUUGGCGCGUCUCAGGCUCUGCCCCGAAUGGGCCUGCAGCCCCUGCACCCUUCCUGGAAACAGCUGUGAGCCGAAGGAGAAGGAGAAGGAGAAGGAGAAGGAGAGGAAAAAAGAAAGGCAAUAAACCAGACGGCUGGAAGGGUUUGUUUGUUAUUGGUCAGGAUUACCAGUAGGGUAUGGUUUCUCUUCCUGCACAGCCACCGGUGAGCCUCUCUGAUGUUUGAGUUUGUCAUGUCAUCUGAGGUUAGCCAUGUUGUUGAUAACAGUUGUUUUCAUCCUUGAGCCAUGCCUGUGACAAUCUACUUGAGCCUUGCUUGUGAUGGUUGCUUAAAGACAGGAAACAAGAAACAAAGAAACCAUCUCUUUCUCUUUCUCUCCCUCUCUCUCUCUCUCUCUCUCUCUCCUUCUCUCUCUGUAGUUAUAAUAUAGUUUACAGUGUAAUACCGAAUUAGUUGCAUAUAUUUAUAUUUACGAUCUGAACAACUAAGCCAGCAGUAUUAGUGUUGUCCUGUUAGUAAUUAAAUACAGGAUGAGGAGAGGUGAGGAAAAAACUCUAAUCCUCAUUCUCCUUUUUACCUCAUGAAUCAUUUGGGGUUUGUGGACAUUUCCCUGGGAAUUCGUGGGCUGAGUAUGAAACCACUGUUCAAACAAACAACUGCUGUUCCAGUGACUUCGCACAGGGCAACAUCACGUCAGAUCCAGGACUCUUUGGCCACAUUACAGGCUGCACUGCUCCACACUAUGCGCUCCAGCUCUACAGCUGUGGGAUCACACACCAGUGUGUGGGUAGUGGAACAAUUCAAAGCAGUUAUGUUAUGUUAAAGGACAGUUAUUUUUUUUCUGUUUUUCUAAUGGGACUUACCUUGUUACCUAGAGAGCAGUCGUGUCCUGCACCUUCAGCUACAGCUCCUUUGGAAGAACCAUCCAUCACUGAUGACUGACGAGCGUCACGUUGCCAGGUUGCCUUGGGAACGAGAAGUUGGCGAGUUGGUGAUUUGCUCUGUGCACCUCUGCCAAGUGCCACUCUAACCCCUGAAAAAUACUCAUGAAGAAGGUUUGUGUGUGUGUGUGUGUGUGUGUGUGUGUGUGUGUGUGUGUGUGUGUGUGUGUGUGUAUGGCCACUGUGUUUUGCAGCACUGAAUCACAACCUGCUUUAUUUGCCAAACCAGGAGCACAACUGUGGGUAAUAGUAAACGAGGACACGGAACAGUGUAAUUACAGUAAAGGGGCCCUCAGCACAGUGAAACUCGCAGCUAUAUUUGGAGUGUUGGUCAAAUAAAAUUAAGAUUAAAUUCUAUUUUGGAGUCUUG